CCCCAGCAGUGAAAGCACUGAGUCCUAACCACUGGACCGCCAGGGAAUUCCCUCUGUAUUUCUAUUGUGCAUCUGUCUGUCCUACAUUCGGAAAUUUUAAUUUUUAAAACGCCUGUGGAACACCACAAGAACACUUGAGCCUAGAUUUCUGCCAUGAAGCUCAAGCAUAUGUGUAGACAUUCCAAAGACCUCACUUACUCCAGGCUUCUAAUAACUUUCCUCAAAGCAACCUGCUUAAUUAAAGGAGUCACUUUCAUAGGAUGGGGGAGAGAAAGAUCAGAAUUUGAGAUUCUGUAACAAAACAGAUGCUUGAUAUACUUUCUUACUGAAGUUCUCUCAACAAACAGCCUGUAAGACAAGAAUUAUCCUCUUUCCACAGAUUCAGCAACUGAGGCCCAAAGCGCUUAAGCCCAUCUCUCCCUGAGCCUCUGUUCUUUCUGCUCAGGCACAAAUAUAAUGUUGGGAGCCAUUGACACUCUUUGUGUCAGUUUACCCCCUUAAACAACUGGCUUUACCUUUAUCUUCUUUCCAAAGA